UCCUACGGGAGGCAGCAGUGGGGAAUCUUGCACAAUGGGGGCAACCCUGAUGCAGCGACGCCGCGUGAGCGAUGAAGCCCUUCGGGGUGUAAAGCUCUUUCGGCAGGGAAGAUUAUGACGGUACCUGCAGAAGCAGCUGCGGCUAACUACGUGCCAGCAGCCGCGGUA
rnacentral:rRNA from 1 species